GCUGCUGGAGAUAUACAUAUACACAUAACCUAGCAAAAAGAGGGAGAGAUACAAGUGGGCAGCAAGGAAGAAUCAGAAAACAAUUGGAUUUAUAUAUUGAUACAAAGGCAGCCAAUUAGAUUUCAUACACACGGAGAUUGGGUUGUUGUUUUAAAUAUAUAUUCGGCAGACAUAGUAACAGAAAUUGAGAGAUAUUCUGGCAAGAAGAAACGGCGGCUGGAGGUCAAUAUAUUAUACAUACAAGCUGCUGAAUUUGGGUAGUAAAAAAGGGCAGAGUUGCUGGGAAAGAAGGCAAAGAAAAAGGGCUACUUGGGCUGGAAUCUGAGAGAUUUUUUGGGGAGACAAGACCAUUGAAAAAGGCAGCCAAUUAAAGGGGAAAGAGAUACAGGAGUAUACCGGCAUUGGGGGCUGAUUUAUAUAUAUUUUACACACCAAUUAGAGGGGGGGGGGGGGGGGGGGGGGUGAGGGAUAUAUAUACAAGAAGUUGCUGGCCAGAAUUUACCAAAAAAAAAGGCUGCAAUUUUUAUACAUACAUUGGCGGCUGAAUUUGGAGGUUCUUGGAAGAAAAUUGGGUGGCUGCUUGUGGAACUAAUUAGAGAGACUCACAAACAAAAGGUAGUGAUGAAAUCAACAGAAGUCGAGGGAGAAGAGGGCACACUGGAAGCCUGGAAUUGAUAAAUACACGUGCGAAGGCCGAGAGCAAUUUUGGAAUUUAAUCACUUCCCGUCGAUUUUCGGUUAUUUCCUUCCGCUUUUAUGUUUUUAAUCCCAACAUUAUGCUAGGCUAAAUAUUCUCGUGUAUUGGAUGGAUGACAAAAUUAUUUAAUUCUUAGUUUUAAUUUGGGACCUAUGUUUUUAUGUUAAUUCUCGCGUUGUGAUUCCAUUAAUAUGCCUAUUUAUAUUGUUUUAAUCUUUGCACACCAUUAGGACAAUAAGUUGCUUAUUCGUAGUGUUGAAAAACUCACGGUAGGUAGAACGCUAUUAUUGGAACACAUGAACAAUAAAUAUUAGGAAUAAUAUUUGCGGCCUAUGUGAUCUUAUGUAAUAAUCCUAAAUGUCAAUGCAUGUUUGCCGUAUGAAUUCGGACUAGGAAUAAGAUCGUCCCAUGGUAACCAUAGGUUUAUUAUAUCUUGGGAAAGAAUAAUAAAUAAAAGUGGAAUUAGCAUGAAUUAACAUAAUUAUUAUUGGUUGAGAAUUAGAACUAAGAAUUGAUCAAUGGCGUCGGAAAUCCAAUACGUUUAC
rnacentral:lncRNA from 1 species